rnacentral:rRNA from 1 species
AUCUAUGACCAAAUCACCCUGAAUGUGCCCCAUCUCAUCUUGACCUCAGAGGCUAAUCGGGUUGACCUCACGGUUAGUGCUUAGAUGGAAAACUGUAUCCGAAGGCCAGAUGUUGUAGGUU